CACUGUCAGUGGCUGCCUGUCUUGCUUUCUAUUCUGGCUUCCACCGUUAAUAUAGCCAGAAUCGUAUUUACUUUUCUGAUAACGGGGGGCCCUGCUUAAACCUAACCUUAUAAAAGCUCAAAUUACUGCAAGGACCUCUACCCCUUUUUUCUUUCCAGUCCCCACACACAUAAUGUGCUGCAUACCCUAACUUGGACAAGACGCAGGGAAGAGGAGGGCCAGAUGUUAACUUCUUUAGUCAGAUAAAUACAAUGGGAAAGGCAAAGGUGGUGUGAUGAGUUAUGGAUCAACUAUGAUGAUGAAAUUGACUAGGCUGUUUCACUGGGGCUGUACAGUCAAGAAAACAUAGAGAAUUCAUAUCCUUGUCAGUAAUCAGAGCAUAAACAAAAGGAAAAGUAGAAGCUCUUCACAGA
rnacentral:lncRNA from 1 species